rnacentral:rRNA from 1 species
AAGACAGGCAGGUGGGGGGAAAUUUUGGGACAAAUUGGGGCGAAAGCCUGAUCCAGCGACGCCGCGUGAGGGGACGAAGCCCUUCGGGGGUGUAAACCUCUGUUGUGAGGGACGAAUAAGAUCUGGAGGGAAUGCCAGAUCGAUGACGGUACCUCACGAGAAAGCCCCGGCUAACUACGUGCCAGCAGCCGCGGUAAUACGUAGGGGGCGAGCGUUACCCGGAUUCACUGGGCGUAAAGGGGGCGCAGGCGAUCCAGUAUGUCGGGUGUGAAAUCCCCACAGCUCAACUGUGGAAUUGCGCCCGAAACUACUGGGUUUGGGGCUGGUAGAGGGAGACGGAACUGCUGGUGUAGGGGUGAAAUCCGUAGAUAUCAGCAGGAACGCCGGUGGGGAAGCCGGUCUCCUGGGCCAAGCCCGACGCUGAGGCCCGAAAGCUAGGGGAGCAAACCGGAUUAGAUACCCGGGUAGUCCUAGCCGUAAACGAUGCCCACUAGGUGUGGGGGAGUCAUUCCUCCGUGCUGUAGCUAACGCGUUAAGUGGGCCGCCUGGGGAGUACGCCCGCAAGGGUGAAACUCAAAGGAAUUGGCGGGACCCCGCACAAGCGGUGGAGCGUGUGGUUUAAUUGGAUGCUAAGCCAAGAACCUUACCAGGGCUUGACAUGCAGGUGGUACCAACCCGAAAGGGAAGGGACCCUUUCCUUUUGGAAAGGGAGCCUGCACAGGUGGUGCACGGCCGUCGUCAGCUCGUGCCGUGAGGUGUUGGGUUAAGUCCCGCAACGAGCGCAACCCCUGCCCUUAGUUGCCAGCGGUUCGGCCGGGCACUCUAAGGGGACCGCCGGCGACGAGCCGGAGGAAGGAGGGGACGACGUCAGGUACUCGUGCCCUUUAUGCCCUGGGCUACACACGCGCUACAAUGGGUGGUACAGUGGGUCGCGACCUCGCGAGAGGGAGCCAAUCCCCAAAACCAUCCUCAGUUCAGAUCGCAGGCUGCAACCCGCCUGCGUGAAGCCGGAAUCGCUAGUAAUCGCGGAUCAGCCAUGCCGCGGUGAAUACGUUCCCGGGGUU